GAGAAUUACCAGGAAAAGAGAGAGGGAUGAUUGGAAUUGCACCUGCCUUCCCUGGGAUGGGUGUGUCAGGCAGACUGGCAUAGAGGCACGAUCAGCUAUGCACAUAAAUCCAUGGGAAUUCAUCCCAGGGUAGAGAAAGAGCGGGCCGGCAUCAUUGUGGACCCUUUUGCAUUAUUGUCAGAAGUCUUGGAGUUCUGAAGAAGUCCCAAUCGACUGGAAGCUGACUAAUGUUAUCCUGGUUUUCAGUAAGGAAAUUAAAGGCAAUCCAACCUGAAAUUUGAGGAGCAACUGUCUGCUCUGGAGCCAGGACUGCUCUGUAUUCCAGUUAGUGACCUACAUGAAAGAACUGAGACCAGAUUUUUCAGGAGCUCUCUUGUAGAACAAGCUUAUCAAUCAUUUUUACCCUCAUGACAGUGUUGAGAAAGAACCACUAGGUUUUGCAACACGAGUCGUACAAGCAGCCCAGUACAGGUGCAAUCUUAUGGGAGAGAGUAAGCUUUGGUGUCAGCUGAAAAGUGACGUCUGGAACUGUAAGGUUUCAUUUGAAAGCAAGAAAAUCUGCAAACAACCAAUUUAGUUCAGAUCUUCCCCACCCAAACUGAGUAAAGACUGCUGCAAAAGCCUGACCUCCCUGCAGCAGAGGGUCCUGCACACCUUGGGAUUUACUACUCCAUUGCACAGUAAGUGUUACAACAUUCCAAAAUACAAACCAAGAUUAACUAAGGCUUGUAAGAAAAGGACUCGCAUCAGCAUCCUGUGAAUGGAGUUACUUAAAAUCAACCAC